rnacentral:rRNA from 1 species
GGGGGAUAACACUUAGAAAUAGGUGCUAAUACCGCAUAAGCGCACGGUUCCGCAUGGAACAGUGUGAAAAACUCCGGUGGUAUACGAUGGAUCCGCGUCUGAUUAGCCAGUUGGCGGGGUAACGGCCCACCAAAGCGACGACCAGUAGCCGGCCUGAGAGGGUGAACGGCCACAUUGGGACUGAGACACGGCCCAAACUCCUACGGGAGGCAGCAGUGGGGAAUAUUGCACAAUGGGGGAAACCCUGAUGCAGCGACGCCGCGUGAGUGAAGAAGUAUCUCGGCACGUAAAGCUCUAUCAGCAGGGAAGAAAAUGACGGUACCUGACUAAGAAGCCCCGGCUAACUACGUGCCAGCAGCCGCGGUAAUACGUAGGGGGCAAGCGUUAUCCGGAUUUACUGGGUGUAAAGGGAGCGUAGACGGCAGCGCAAGUCUGGAGUGAAAUGCCGGGGCCCAACCCCGGAACUGCUUUGGAAACUGUGCAGCUCGAGUGCAGGAGAGGUAAGCGGAAUUCCUAGUGUAGCGGUGAAAUGCGUAGAUAUUAGGAGGAACACCAGUGGCGAAGGCGGCUUACUGGACUGUAACUGACGUUGAGGCUCGAAAGCGUGGGGAGCAAACAGGAUUAGAUACCCUGGUAGUCCACGCCGUAAACGAUGAUUACUAGGUGUCGGGGGGCCAAGGCCCUCCGGUGCCGCCGCAAACG